rnacentral:ncRNA from 1 species
AUUAUGGAGAGUUUGAUCCUGGCUCAGGACGAACGCUGGCGGCGUGCCUAAUACAUGCAAGUCGAGCGGAGUUGAUGAGAAGCUUGCUUCUCUGAUGCUUAGCGGCGGACGGGUGAGUAACACGUAGGCAACCUGCCCACAAGAUCGGGA